CACGUAGGGCGCAAGCGUUGUCCGGAAUUAUUGGGCGUAAAGAGCUCGUAGGCGGUCUGUUGCGUCCGCUGUGAAAACUCGGGGCUUAACCCCGAGCCUGCAGUGGAUACGGGCAGACUAGAGGUAGGCAGGGGAGAAUGGAAUUCCCGGUGUAGCGGUGAAAUGCGCAGAUAUCGGGAGGAACACCGGUGGCGAAGGCGGUUCUCUGGGCAUGAUCUGACGCUGAGGAGCGAAAGUGUGGGGAGCGAACAGG
rnacentral:rRNA from 1 species